rnacentral:rRNA from 1 species
CGGCAUGCCUAACACAUGCAAGUCGAACGGACACCUUCGGGUGUCAGUGGCGAACGGGUGAGUAACGCGUAGGAAUCUACCCCUGGGAGGGGGAUAACAGCUGGAAACGGCUGCUAAUACCCCAUACAGGCGCAAGCUGAAAGGAGCAAUCCGCCCAGGGAUGAGCCUGCGUCGGAUUAGCUAGUUGGUGGGGUAAUGGCCUACCAAGGCGACGAUCCGUAGCGGGUCUGAGAGGAUGGCCCGCCACACUGGGACUGAGACACGGCCCAGACUCCUACGGGAGGCAGCAGUGGGGAAUUUUCCGCAAUGGGCAAAAGCCUGACGGAGCAAUGCCGCGUGAGGGAAGAAGGCCUUCGGGUUGUAAACCUCUUUUCUGGGGGACGAAGCUCUGACGGUACCCCAGGAAUAAGCCUCGGCUAACUCUGUGCCAGCAGCCGCGGUAAGACAGAGGAGGCGAGCGUUAUCCGGAGUCAUUG